rnacentral:lncRNA from 1 species
CAAGAAUUAAAAAUACACUGCAGUUUCCUAGCUGAAACUUGGUUUUUUUUCUCUACCGCAGUUUCUAUGGCUACUUGCCUGCAUAGUUGUGCAAUUUUUCGAGUUAAGAAACCAUAAACAAUUUCCAGUGUUGAAAUAUUUAAUGGUAGCUCUGUGACUUGUGGGAAUCGUGGAACCCAAGAGUUCCAUGGAAAAUGGAAAUGAAUGAAAAGUAUAAAACAAUAAGACAACUGCAAACUUAUUUCUGGUACUCACUACUUUCCAGAACUCUUGUAAUGAUAGUUUAUGUAUCCACUCUAAUUUUGGAUGGCUGAAUGUACAGGAACUUGAAACCAUGACUACUUUGUCUAACUGAAUCUUAAGAGCACAGUUUGGCUUGCCCUCAUGUUAUGAUGCCUGGAUAGGAUUGCAUGGUAGGGUGAAAAUAAACCACUUUUGGAAGGAAAAAUUGGAUGCAAGUAACAUUCCAGGUUUUAUAUGAGACUCUUGUGGCUAUUUGCCAGCCUUUUCCAGGAUUGCAGUUUCUGAGGAAGUGAGAGAGGGAAGUUCUUACAUUUCACUUGUAAAACUUACGACAAAAUGAUGGUCUGGUAAAAUUCUUGGAGAUCUGGAAAAGAAGUUUCCAUUUUGUGCCUGUCCUGGUCAUUCUGGGAUAUCUGAUCACCCUAUGUGACUUUGCCCACACAGCACAAUAGGUAUGGGAUGUUGCUCUCAUGGGAAGCUUUCUGGACCUUGCAGUAAGAAUAUGGGAAGUUCUCUGCAUGGCUACAGGAUAACACACCGGAGGAGCUGCAGUUCAGCAUGUUGCAUCCUGUGGCCUGGAUCAUUUUGAUCAGCUUUAUCAUCUGUUAUAGGUUUGUUUAAGUUUCUAAACACAUUACUAAGAAAUUGCCAAAGAAAAAUAAUACCUGAAUAUUUGAGGUCUUGUAAAUGAAAACUACAAUAGUGGUGAAAUAGUGUUCAUACCAGUUAGUGAAUUUUCAGACACAAGAGAAAAAUAUUGUAGUAAUUGGUGUGAAAUAAAGGCUGACUUCGGGAUUUUGUUCUUUUUUGU